ensembl:lncRNA
GCGAGGCUGGCGGCGGCGGCGGGGGGAGCCGGGUCCUUAUUCUGUUAAAGAUUUAAGUAGGCAUGCAAGGAAUCUCUAGGAUAGUUGGCAAAGGGCGAGGGUGGGGAGGGGGGGGGAAGGAUCCAAAAGAGUCUGUAACCAGACACUGAAGCUUUCCAGGAGUGAGAGUGUGUGAGAGAGACGGAGACAGAGCGAGAGGAAGAGAGGGGGCAGUGUGGUCUAGUACAUUUUCAUCUGGUCGUUGAUUUGAGCCUGAUGCUUGCUGUCCCUCAACAGCCUCCCUUGCCUGUAUUUUUUCUUUCCCCCUCUCCUCUCCUCUCCUUUCCCUUCUACUUCAUCGAAGCCUAGGGGAGCCAGUAAAGAUUAAAUGUGCUUUCUAAAAGGCAGCCACUUCAUGCAGCUAUGUCUGCUCUCCCCCCCCCCCAGCCCCCCCCUCCCCUCCACUCCCCCUUUUUCGAAAUUAAAAAAAAAAAAAACAAACAACAAAACAAAAAAAAAAAAAAAAAAAGAAGGGGGGAGAAGGAAGGAGGAGGAAGAGGAGGACUGUAGUUUAAUGAUGUCGGGACUGGCUGAUCCAGAAGGAGGAAAGAGGAGAAAAAAAAAAAAAAAAAAAGGAAAAAAAAAAAAAGAUUUUGAGAGCCUGGACGAGGAAGGACUUUGGUGAAUGGGCUCAGACUCCCGAGAGCGGAGCGCGGCUGUGAGGUGGAGCAGCUGGCGGGGCUGUGGGUUCCUGCUGGCACCGUGCAGCUCUGCUCACCCACUGCCAACUGCACAGCGCUGCUGCCCGGCCCCGUUCCCAGCGCUCGGAAGGAAAGAGCAUCCCGGUUCUUCUUCACUCUUGGGAACACACACAUUGUUUCAAUAAUCCAGGCAAUAAAUGCUAAUUAGUAAUGCUUAAGGACCCUACCAGUCAGAGUCAUUACCAUAAUCUACCUCUUCCUUGUUAAAAACGCUCCUUGCUGCUUUAAAAUUUUGCCAGGCGAUGCUUUCUUUGCUCUUCCUUUGGAAAGCUCUCCCCGUUGUGUUAGCAAUGAGUGCAGCCCCGCUGCAGCACCGAGACAUUCUGUGGAGGCAAAGCAUGCUCUGCGUGUGGCAAAGGGGACCGGAGCUCGAGAGAAGUGCAUGGAGGUUUUCCCACAUGUCAGAUUUUCUUCUGAAGCAGAUAUUUUUGCUUUGCGUCCUUCUCUGCACCCUCCCCUCCCCAGCACCACCAAAACCCACUUACAGGGGGAGAACAAAGGAAAUCACGAACUAUAAAGGCAUCAUUAAGUGUGAGCAGCAACGGCGAGAUAGCGUGUGUGAUAUGACAACAUAUUUCACGGCACAAAAGUAGAGAUAAUUAAAUAAUUCAGCGGUAUUCUUAGCUAAUUAGCACGGAGAUCUUUCAGAAGCCAUCAGGAAAAUGGAUCUCAUCAAAUCUAAUAAUACGCUACAUUUCCCCACGAUGCUGUGUUUUCCAGCCUUGCUGCUCCUCCACCACCCCAUGCAGUAACACAAAAGGUUACAAAUAGUUGCACGUUUAAUUGGGCUGUUUUUCAGGAUCGUCUUUUCUGCACAAAAUGAUUCUCUCUUUAGAGGAGGGGGGGGAUAUAUAUGCGGCUGGAAUCUUCAAUGUUAGCCAAUAAAAAAGAAAAAUAAUAACAACAGUAGCUUCAUAAAAGCUGAAUGUGUUAAAAACGGUCCUUUAUUAUCAGCUAGGAGCCAUUUUGGGCUGGUUGCAAUGGGGCUGACUCACUUUGAGUUGGGCUCGGUGAAUUAACGCUGCUGUCCGAGAUCUUUUUAUAGAGUUAAUUGGGGACGUGGAUUGCCUGCUCUCUGAUUUUCCUGCCAUCGAGCAGCAGGUGGCAGAGCUGGGGUGGGGCCUGUGCCCUCUGCUCUGCGUGCUCUGCUCUGAUAUCAAGGCCCGUGGUACCAGCUGGGCAGAACGCAGUGCUCAUUGCUUCGGGUGUCUGGCAGCAUGGCUGUAGUUACGUGCCAUGCCAACGCUCCCUCCCCUGGCUGCACGAGCUGUGCAGCAGCAAGCAGUGGCUGUGUGUGCUCACGAGCCCCAGCUGGCAGCCUGCAGGUGUGCAGGGCAGCACGACGGGUACCUGCAGGGUGCUGGCAGUGCUGCUGAUCCCACGGCACGCUCCCAGGAAUCCGGUGCAUCAGAUGUUAGUCGGAGCAUCUCGUUAUAUGACCUCGAUCUGAGCGUAUAUCCACGUUCACGUGAUGCAUUUAGGAGCUGAUCUGCUGGCUGCGUUGGAUGCGCUCAGGUUAAGCACUGGUUCCGGCCUUUGCUCCGGUCCCAAACUGAGUGAUGGACUCUGGUGUUACAACCAUGCACGGUGCUGCUGGGGUGAGGUGCUCCGCCUCACUGUUACUCCUUUGCACGUGCAAGGAGGCUUUUCCUCCUCUGCAAUGAUGGAGACUGUUUCUUGUAGGGUGGGCGGAAGGAGUAUGAGGAGAAAAGGCAGCAGAAGGAAAUCAGCACACCUGCAGCAGUGCAGUAACUGCUGUCUGCAGGGUUGCAGUGCUUCACAGUGUACUUUCUUCUCCUAGGGGGGGGGUUCAGGUUGUGAGUAAGGUUACUGAAAUGCCAUGGGACCCUCUUAGGUCCCCCAGAUGUAAUUAUGAACAUGUUAUUUCUGUUAGCAAGUCACACAAAUUUUCCCCCAUUGUUUUGAGUUCCUUUUCUCUUGUGCCCUUCACCCAACUCUGUUAACUGUGUUACUAUCUGAGGACGUUACAGCCAAUUAAAAUUACACGUGUAUAUAUAUAUUCAAGAUGAAAGUUGAGUCUCUGAAUCACAAGGCAGGCCAAGCGGAAGGCUCAGACCGCGUGCUGCAGUUGUUGCUGUUGAGCAGCUCUUCCCAUCCAGCAGCCAAUGUCCCUCCGAUCCCCCGGGGCUGUGGUGCCCAGCACAGAACCCUUCAUUCCCAGUGCUCCUGCGUGCUGGGACCUCCAGCAGUGUCCCAACAGAGCGGGCUGAUGGAUGGGACACUGUAUCUCAAGUGUAUGUUCUUUGUAUCCUUAUGCAGUCUGGAUGGCGGGUGGUGGUCAGGAGGAGGGAGGGCGUAUAAGGGUGAGCGUAGGCUUUGCUGUGUAAUGUGUGCUUCUGUCCUUCAAGUAAGGCACAGCAUCCAGCAGCAAACGUCCCAGGAUGGUUUGUGCCACUUGUGGGCUCCGAGGGGUGGAUGGGCUCUGGCAAAACGUGCACGGACUGUCAGAGUGCUGCUGCUCAUCCCAAAUCCAACGUGCUGAGCCCACCUGGGCUGUGCGUGCUGUUGUGUGACUGCGGAAGAUGGGGCACAAAGGGCUCCUUGGGUGCUCUGUAUGGCACAGCAGAGGACGAGCCAAGCCAGCAUCUGAGAGGUCCCCAGCAGCUCCUGCAAGGCGCUGAACAACGUCUGCUGCUCCCCAAAGGCUGAAAGCACUCCCGGCCAUCACACGCCGCUCUCUUCGCUGCCGACGCCGCUUUUAAGAUGAAUGAUGUGAGAAAUGCUGCAAAGCAUCAGAGGUCGAGGAGCUGCCUCAGUGCACCGACACCGUUCUGCGUGGAGGCUGCGGCUCAGCUGAGCGCCCCUCCGGGGAGAGAGAGAAGUGGGGAAAAACGACAACCAGAAAAGAUUGGUGGACUUUGGUUUUCGUAUGCACCUGUGUUUGUAUCAUGCCUGAACCUGCAAAGAGUAACACGUGGUUAUUCGCAUGGAAUCCAGUAAAUGGUGAACCUGUAAAUCAGUGAC